AUUCCGUUGUACGUAUAUAUACAUUCUUUUUCACGUUCUUUUCCAUUAUGGUUUGUCCCAGGAUAUUGGAUCUAGUUCCCUGUGCAAUACAGUAGGGAGAUACAGUAUACAGAUACAGCUUUUUGACAUAAGAGAAGCCAUUUUAGGCCUAAACCAUUUUGUGAUCUAAGCCUGGCCAUAAUGCUUGCCCUUGACUAGAUCUCAGUAAUUAAUGAACUUAAGGGAACAAAGAAAUGAAAAGUAGUCAAGAAACAAUAGUUCAGAGAUAAAAUAGAGUCCUAGUUCCUCCUCAAGGGAUAUACAUCACAAUCUGAUACAGAGCUUUGAGUUCUGCAGGAAUUAAGACCCCUACCCAGGUGGAGGAUGUAACUAUGCUGAGACCCCAGAUUGGUUGGGGCCUAAGGAAAGAGGAUGGUGACCUCUGCUGACCCUCCUGACUUCACUCAACUAAAGCUUGGACUCUGUCAACCUUUGCCCCAAUUCUGUGUUGAAUUCUCUUCAGCUCAAGCCCCUUCAUAAAUAUGCAUGUACCCUUAGCUUAAAACUUUCCCAAUUUUGCAGCUGGGGAGACACUGCUUUGGGAAAGAUCCCCAGUGUUCUCCUGACUUGCUGCGAGCAAGAAAUCCUUCCUUCUCCUGCUCUUCCGUUUGGUUGUCUCUUGGCAGCUAACCCAGUUGUUUUGGUAACAAUGCCGCCACUUUCCAGCCCAGACCCCGCCUCAGUGGGGCAGAUGGAAGCCUUCAUGAAGGCUUGAAGGCUUGUUUGAGGUUGCGGGCAGGUCUCACUGCUUGUCUGCCCGAACAAAAUCAAGCCUGGCAUUUCUGUUUCCCACUAGCCUGACCUCACCACCGGGGUGAGGAUGGAAGGUUUUAUGGCUCCUAAACUUUAAAUCUUUGGGCCCAGAUAUACCAGGACAAAGGAAGAAGAGUUCCUCUCUCCACCAAAGCAAGAGCCUGGUGGGGCCUGAAACUGUCCCUCUCCGGCAUUCCCCAGACAUGCCAUUCUAUGGAGCCCAGGAGAGAUUUAUCCAGGUGCAAGCACUCCAGUAAAAGGUCCCAGGUCCCAGCCUAUCUCAUUCCCAUCACCUUGGCUAAGGCCUCCACCCAUCCCCAGAGCACCGGCUACUGUAGGAAAGAUGGCUGGGAAAUCAUUCUAUGGCUGGUGGCAGUGGAAAGAUGGAGUUCUGUGCAUGAACGUGGAAUGUGUGCACGUUGGAGCAACGAAAGUCAAGGACCACCUGUAACCGGUCAACUUGUGCAAGUCACUGGCCUCUGGAAAGGGCACCCCCAAAAUUGUCUUUGGAGAAGAGAAGCAGGAUGGAGGAUGAAUUCCAUGCCCAGAUGUGCCAUGGAUGGAAUCACCCAGACAGCCUCCAGCGUUUUAUGUUCUGUAGCGUCUCUGUACGUGAUGGAGCAAGAAGAUGUUUCAUUUUCUUCAUUGUUAUUUGAGUUGUGCCUUCCAUGUCAGCAGUAAAAGAGGAUACGUGUCGGAGUCCCAGAGAAUUCCCUGGAAACCAAAGUCUUCUCCAUCUCACUUUCAGCAGCCAAGAACCCAUGAAUAUGCAGGGCGGACUGUACUGGAUUUCUAUAAAGCCACUGCUCCCCCAGAUGAGCCUUAUUCAUUCUCCUAAAAACAAUGGGGCUUUUCUCCAGAAAACUCCUCCAUCAAUAUUGAAAAGGCUGGGUGGGAACUUGUCACCAGGAUGAACAACUAUUAGAGAGGUGUUAAAGAUAGAAUAGCACCAAAUUAAGACUUUCUUCUUGAGUGAUCAGUAUUGAAAGAGAAUAAAAAAGGUAUCAAGAGGGGGUAUAUGGAAACUCCCUGUACUUUCUGCUCAAUAUCUCUUAAACCUAAAACUCUUAAGAAAAAAAGCCUAUUAAUUUUUUUGAGUGUACUCAUAAAAAUAAAAUUAAGAGUUCUAAAUUGAACAACAACGAAAAGGACCAACAUUCUCCCUGAAUGAGUCAAGGCUAUUUAAUGCUGCAUUCCCCAUACUACCCCAAAUCAUCAGAAAUUACUACCUGAAAUUACCUCUCAUGGUCACAUGGGUCCAUGGCUUCCAUUUUGUGAAAACGUAGCCAACAUCUGAUUAUAUGAAAAAAUAAGAGGAAAAAGGCAGAGAUGGGAUGGUUUCCUACUGAUGGCAGAAUGAAGUUGUGAAUCACUCAUCUUUCUGCCAAAGCCGUUCGUGAUCUGGUCCUCAUGUUCAUGUUUGCCCUCCUGCCAUUGCCCACAGACCCCAGGCAUUAUCAUUAUGUCAAACUCUGUACUCUUCCCUGCAUCUGGAAUUUCCUCCCCACAUCUCUGCCUGUCAAAUCUUCUUCAGGAUCACCCAGCACACACACCAUUCCUUCAAAUGGGCCCACACAGUCACGUGAAGCCUCCCUCGGCUAUCCCAGAUGGGGAGAGCGUUCUUUCUCUUGGGUGUCUGUGGAGCUGUGUGUGCACAACCAUUAGAGCCACCAUCUUUUGUGGGGUGUGAUGGAUUUUUACCUCUGCCUAGGGUACCAGAUAAAAUACAUGGUGCCUAGUAAAAUUUGACUUUCGGGUAAACAAAGGAUAAUUUUUAGUGUAAGUAUGUCCCAUGUAGUAUUUAACUGGGUGUCCUGUAUUUUUUAUUUGCUAAACCUAGCAACCCUGUGUUUGUCUCCCGUGAGACUUAGCUUCCUAGGAAAAGGGUGGUAGCUUUCCAUCCCUGUGCCUGCAGUACCAAGGACAUUACCAAGCACUUAGUAGAAGCUUGGUAACUAUUAGAUGGAGAAAUGGCGGCAUGAAUGACUUCUGCCCAGACUCACACAGGAAACCCUACGAUUGCAAAUAAUGCCAGGAAUACAUUUCUAUUCCUGCCUAGAAAUGCAGGUUUGGAAGAGGGAAAGAUAAUGUGCUCAAAUCUAAUACAUUCAUAAUCUACAGACUAGAAGGAGCGAAGCUGUCUCUACAUUGUUCUCUAGCUUGUCUUCAACACAUAUAAAAACAAGUCACAGACGGCUUGGUUUCUGUAGACGUUACAGGUCUAUAGUCGGCUCCCACACAGAUCACAUUAUGAGGGUGAGAACUUGGUCUACUGAAUCCAAAGCCAGGCAUGAUGAAUAGUAGCCACAGCCAAGAGCAAAUCUACCCCAUGUUAGGGCCGGUUCUGUCCCUAUUAUUCAGGUAGGCAAUGAAUCACCGUGUUUUGCUUUCAGGCCUUCCUGUGAGGGCGGUGUGUGGUGAUGGAAGAAAUCACAGGCUCUAAAGUCAGAUAAACCUGGAUUUGCAGUUAUGACUCAGCCACUGCCAGGCCAGAGGCCUCGCUGGAGCUCAGUUUUCUCAUCUGUAAACUGGGCUAUCGUGGAUACCUCCCAAAGGUCGAGAGCCAGUUUCUUCCUCUAGCUCCCGAAGAGCAGCUGCUUCUGGGCUCUCAUUACCAUCUGCGACACCUGCAGAGAAUUCUAGGCAUUAGCCUCCCAUUGGUGGGCGGAACUGCUUCCUUCGCCAGGACGAUGCCCUUAUAAUGAAGACUUCUUUGCAGCUCAGGGAAAACUGCCACUGUCCUUUCCUGGUUGUCUGCUUCACAGUCUCCCAAGUGCCUAUUUUACCAGUAGGAUCCAUAGCCAUCCAUGGGCUUCUUGGAAAAGGAGAAGGAAUCUGGAAGCAGCAAGAGGAGGGGUUUUCCUGACUUCCUGGACCCUGGUGUACAAGGAGCCCAUACUUGAGAAGAGCAGAAGUUUCAGAUAAGAAAGGAAAACUGAGGCACCGGGAGGUCAACGCCUGCUCAGGGUCACAAGUGCGUCACUCCGGCGGGACUUUCAACCCGCAUAAGCUGUCUGCUUCGCAGGAUCCCAGCCACCUCCCGGCCGUCACUACCGCACUAAAAUGCUGUGUCACGCUGGAGCAGCAGGUUCCCCGUUAAAGUGAAAAAAACAGGAAGGAGGGAAGAGAAGAGAACCUUCGCGAUAAACUCCGGUAAGGAGGCGGAGGUGCACAAGCAGAAACACUUCCUGGUGAUCGUUACUCAGCAUUUUGUGGGGUU